rnacentral:rRNA from 1 species
AUUGAACGCUUGCGGCAGGCCUAACACAUGCAAGUCGGGCGGUAACAGGGAUAGCUUGCUAUCUGCUGACGAGCGGCGGACGGGUGAGUAAUGCAUAGGAAUCUGCCUGGUAGUGGGGGAUAGCCCAGAGAAAUUUGGAUUAAUACCGCAUACGCCCUACGGGGGAAAGCAGGGGAUCUUCGGACCUAGCGCUAUCAGAUGAGCCUAUGUCGGAUUAGCUUGUUGGUGAGGUAACGGCUCACCAAGGCGACGAUCCGUAGCUGGUCUGAGAGGAGAUCAGCCACAC